GAUGAAGAACGUAGCGAAAUGCGAUAAGUAAUGCGAAUUGCAGAAUUCAGUGAAUCAUCGAAUCUUUGAACGCACAUUGCGCCCGCUAGUAUUCUGGCGGGCAUGCCUGUCUGAGCGUCAUUUCAACCCUCGCCCCCGGCUUUUGCUGGGAGCGGUGUUGGGGAUCGGCCGCCCGUCACUGGGAGGCCGGCCCCGAAAUAGAGUGGCGACACGCCGUGUGCUCCUCUGCGUAGUAGUAAAUCACCUCGCAGGCGGACAGCGGUGCGGCCUGCCGUAAAACCCCCAACUCUUUCUGGUUGACCUCAGAUCAGGUAGGAAUACCCGCUGAACUUAAGCAUAUCAAUAAGCGGAGGA
rnacentral:misc_RNA from 1 species